GUCCUUACCUGGCAGGGGAGAUACCAUGAUCAGGCAGGUUGUUUUCGCAGGGCAAGCCUCAUCCCUUGCACUCUAGAUGUGCUGACCCCUGCGAUUUCCCCAAAUGUGGGAAACUUGACUGCACAAUUUGUGGUAGUGGGGGACUGCAUUCGCGCUUUCCUGUG
ensembl:snRNA U1 U1 spliceosomal RNA